rnacentral:rRNA from 1 species
UACAGAGGCCUCAAGCGUUGUUCGGAAUCACUGGGCGUAAAGGGUGCGCAGGCUGCGUAAUAAGUCGUAUUGUAAAAUUCAGAUGCUCAACGUCUGCCUGCAAUCGAUACUGUUAUGCUAGAGGACUUAAGAGGGGGUAAGAAUUCACGGUGUAGCAGUGAAAUGCGUAGAUAUCGUGAGGAAUACCAAUGGCGAAGGCAUACCCCUGGGAAGUUUCUGACGCUCAUGCACGAAGGCUAGGGGAGCAAAUGGG